rnacentral:rRNA from 1 species
UAGGGAAUCUUCCACAAUGGACGAAAGUCUGAUGGAGCAACGCCGCGUGAGUGAAGAAGGGUUUCGGCUCGUAAAACUCUGUUGUUAAAGAAGAACAUAUCUGAGAGUAACUGUUCAUACGUUGACGGUAUUUAACCAGAAAGUCACGGCUAACUACGUGCCAG